GUAUUAUAAUUGCGCUUAGGCAACAUAAAGACAUUCCGAGACAUGCAUAAGAGUAUAUGAAAGACAUGAGAAUCACCCCAAGGGACGACCCCCACUUUUGGGUUCACAGGUGUAAGUGGAUUAAGAGCUCGGGCGUGCACAUGCCCCCGAGGAGGCCAGCAACAACCUUUGCUUAUAAUUCGAUAAUGAUCCUUCCGCAGGUUCACCUACGGAAA
rnacentral:misc_RNA from 1 species